AUCACUUCUUGGCCUUUUGGCUAAGAUCAAGUGCAGUAUCAUAUGCGCAUUUUACAUAAUAUGUAACAUAUUGUACAAAUACAUUCUCUAGUGCAUUUUUU
rnacentral:snRNA from 1 species